CACUAAGGCCAUACCACCCUGAAUGGGCCCGAUCUUGUCUGAUCUCAGAAGCUAAGCAGGGUCGGGCCUCAUUAGUACUUGGAUGGGGGGCCACCUGGGAAUACCAGGUGCCGUAGGCU
ensembl:rRNA 5S_rRNA 5S ribosomal RNA